AACGUAGGAGGCGAGCGUUAUCCGGAUUUACUGGGUGUAAAGCGCACGCAGGCGGCUUCGUAAGUUGGAUGUGAAAGCUCUGGCUUAACUGGGAGAGGCCAUUCAAGACUGCGGGGCUUGAGGUUGGGAGAGGGGUGUGGAAUUCCUGGUGUAGUGGUGGAAUGCGUAGAGAUCGGGAGGAACACCAGUGGCGAAGGCGGCACCCUGGCCCACACCUGACGCUGAGGUGCGAAAGCGUGGGGAGC
rnacentral:rRNA from 1 species